rnacentral:rRNA from 1 species
AAUUUUCCACAAUGGACGAAAGUCUGAUGGAGCAAUGCCGCGUGAGGGAUGAAGGUUUUCGGAUCGUAAACCUCUGUUGAUAGGAAAGAACAAGUAUAAUAGGAAAUGAUUAUAUUUUUGACGGUACCUGUCCAGAAAGUCACGGCAAACUAUGUGCCAGCAGCCGCGGUAAUACAUAGGUGGCAAGCGUUAUCCGGAUUUAUUGGGCGUAAAGAGUGCACAGGCGGUUUAUUAAGUCAGUUGUUAAAUACUGGGGCUCAACCCCAGUCUGCAAUUGAAACUGAUAAGCUAGAAUACAGGUGGGGGUAAUGGAAUUCCAUGUGUAGCGGUGGAAUGCAUAAAUAUAUGGAGGAACACCAGUGGCGAAGGCGGUUGCCUGAACUGUAAUUGACGCUUAAGUACGAAAGCGUGGGGAGCAAAUAGGAUUAGAUACCCUAGUAGUCCACGCCGUA